UACGUAGGGUGCAAGCGUUGUCCGGAAUUAUUGGGCGUAAAGAGCUCGUAGGCGGUCUGUCGCGUCGGCUGUGAAAUCCCGAGGCUCAACCUCGGGUCUGCAGUCGAUACGGGCAAACUAGAGUGUGGUAGGGGAGACUGGAAUUCCUGGUGUAGCGGUGAAAUGCGCAGAUAUCAGGAGGAACACCGGUGGCGAAGGCGGGUCUCUGGGCCGAUAUUGACGCUGAGGAGCGAAAGCGUGGGGAGCGAACAGG
rnacentral:rRNA from 1 species